rnacentral:rRNA from 1 species
GACGAACGCUGGCGGCGUGCUUAACACAUGCAAGUCGAACGGCAACGCCCUGCUUUUGUGGGGUGCCCGAGUGGCGAACGGGUGCGUAACACGUGAGUAACCUGCUCUUGACUUUGGGAUAACUUCAGGAAAGUGGAGCUAAUCCAGGAUAGGAGAUCCUGCUGCAUGGUGGGGGUUGGAACGUUUCGGCGGUUGGGGAUGGACUAGCGGCUUAUCAGCUUGUUGGUGGGGUAGUGGAUUACCAAGGCUUUGACGGGUAGCCGGCCUGAGAGGGUGACCGGCCACAUGGGGACUGAGAGACGGCCCAGACUCCUACGGGAGGCAGCAGUGGGGAAUAUUGCACAAUGGGCGGAAGCCGGAUGCAGCAACGCCGCGUGCGGGAUGACGGCCUUCGGGUUGUAAACCGCUUUCGCCUGUGACGAAGCGUGAGUGACGGUAAUGGGUAAAGAAGCACCGGCUAACUACGUG